rnacentral:rRNA from 1 species
CCCUUAGAUGUUCUGGGCUGCACGCGCGCUACACUGAAGCGUUCAACGAGUAUUCACCUUGCCCGGGAGGGUUGGGUAAUCUUUUGAAAACGCUUCGUGAUGGGGAUAGAUUAUUGCAAUUAUUAAUCUUCAACGAGGAAUUCCUAGUAAGCGCGAGUCAUCAGCUCGUGCUGAUUACGUCCCUGCCCUUUGUACACACCGCCCGUCGCUCCUACCGAUUGAGCAUUAGGGUGAAAUCUUCGGACCGUGGCAUACUUCUGGCCUAGCCAGUCUUUGUCCGUGGGAGGUCGCUUAAAUCCUGAUGCUUAGAGGAAGUAAAAGUCGUAACA